UGGCGGACGGGUGAGUAACACGUGGGAACGUGCCUUUAGGUUCGGAAUAACUCAGGGAAACUUGUGCUAAUACCGGAUGUGCCCUUCGGGGGAAAGAUUUAUCGCCUUUAGAGCGGCCCGCGUCUGAUUAGCUAGUUGGUGGUGUAAUGGACCACCAAGGCGACGAUCAGUAGCUGGUCUGAGAGGAUGAUCAGCCACAUUGGGACUGAGACACGGCCCAAACUCCUACGGGAGGCAGCAGUGGGGAAUCUUGCGCAAUGGGCGAAAGCCUGACGCAGCCAUGCCGCGUGAAUGAUGAAGGUCUUAGGAUUGUAAAAUUCUUUCACCGGGGACGAUAAUGACGGUACCCGGAGAAGAAGCCCCGGCUAACUUCGUGCCAGCAGCCGCGGUAAUACGAAGGGGGCUAGCGUUGCUCGGAAUUACUGGGCGUAAAGGGAGCGUAGGCGGACAUUUAAGUCAGGGGUGAAAUCCCGGGGCUCAACCUCGGAAUUGCCUUUGAUACUGGGUGUCUUGAGUAUGAGAGAGGUGUGUGGAACUCCGAGUGUAGAGGUGAAAUUCGUAGAUAUUCGGAAGAACACCAGUGGCGAAGGCGACACACUGGCUCAUUACUGACGCUGAGGCUCGAAAGCGUGGGGAGCAAACAGGAUUAGAUACCCUGGUAGUCCACGCCGUAAACGAUGAUUGCUAGUUGUCGGGAUGCAUGCAUUUCGGUGACGCAGCUAACGCAUUAAGCAAUCCGCCUGGGGAGUACGGUCGCAAGAUUAAAACUC
rnacentral:rRNA from 1 species